rnacentral:tRNA from 1 species
GCCUGGGUGGCUCAGUCGGUUGAGCAUCUGACUUCGGCACAGAUUAUGAUCUCAAGGCUUGUGAGUUCGAGCCCCACGUCAGGCU